rnacentral:rRNA from 1 species
UGGGGAAUAUUGGACAAUGGGGGCAACCCUGAUCCAGCCAUGCCGCGUGUGUGAAGAAGGCCUUUUGGUUGUAAAGCACUUUAAGCAGUGAAGAAGACUCCAUGGUUAAUACCCAUGGACGAUGACAUUAGCUGCAGAAUAAGCACCGGCUAACUCUGUGCCAGCAGCCGCGGUAAUACAGAGGGUGCAAGCGUUAAUCGGAAUUACUGGGCGUAAAGCGAGCGUAGGUGGCUUGAUAAGUCAGAUGGGAAAGCCCCGGGCUUAACCUGGGAACGGCAUCUGAUACUGUUAGGCUAGAGUAGGUGAGAGGAAGGUAGAAUUCCAGGUGUAGCGGUGAAAUGCGUAGAGAUCUGGAGGAAUACCGAUGGCGAAGGCAGCCUUCUGGCAUCAUACUGACACUGAGGUUCGAAAGCGUGGGUAGCAAACA